UACAGAGGGGGCGAGCGUUGUUCGGAAUUACUGGGCGUAAAGGGCGCGUAGGCGGCCAACUAAGUCAGACGUGAAAUCCCUCGGCUCAACCGGGGAACUGCGUCUGAUACUGGAUGGCUUGAAUUCGGGAGAGGGAUGCGGAAUUCCAGGUGUAGCGGUGAAAUGCGUAGAUAUCUGGAGGAAUACCGGUGGCGAAGGCGGCAUCCUGGACCGACAUUGACGCUGAGAACCGAAAGCUAGGGGAGCAAACGGG
rnacentral:rRNA from 1 species